rnacentral:rRNA from 1 species
UCGAGGGGUAACAGAUGAAGAGCUUGCUCUGAUUGCUGACGACCGGCGCACGGGUGAGUAACAAGUAUGCAACCUACCUUUUACAGAGGGAUAGCCCAGAGAAAUUUGGAUUAAUACCUCAUAAUAUUUUUAACUCGCAUGAGUUUUAAAUUAAAACUUCGGUGGUAAAAGAUGGGCAUGCUUUCUAUUAGUUUGUUGGUGAGGUAACGGCUCACCAAGACUAUGAUAGAUAGGGGGUCUGAGAGGAUAGUCCCCCACACUGGUACUGAGACACGGACCAGACUCCUACGGGAGGCAGCAGUGAGGAAUAUUGGUCAAUGGUCGAAAGACUGAACCAGCCAUGUCGCGUGAAGGAUGACGGCCCUAUGGGUUGUAAACUUCUUUUGUAUGGGAAGAAAAGCAGUUACGUGUAAUUGUCUGCCGGUACCAUACGAAUAAGGAUCGGCUAACUCCGUGCCAGCAGCCGCGGUAAUACGGAGGAUCCAAGCGUUAUCCGGAUUUAUUGGGUUUAAAGGGUGCGUAGGCGGCUCUAUAAGUCAGUAGUGAAAUCUCGAAGCUCAACUUCGAACGUGCUAUUGAAACUGUAGAGCUUGAGUACA